rnacentral:lncRNA from 1 species
UAGUUGAAUUUUUAAUUUAAAAAAAUCCCGAAGUUUAUAUGUUUUAAUUGCUUAAUAAAAAUGUUAAUAUAUACUUAAUUUCAUUGAAAUACAUUUUACAUAUAAUACUGCGCAAAUUUAAGGUUCAUCUGAUACAUUUAUAUAUUGUAAUAUGACUGUAGUGAUAGUUAUCACCUCUAUUGUGUCAUAUAUUUAUCAUUUCUUUGCUGUGGUGUGAAUAAUCAAGAUCUUGCCCUAACUUGGCAAGUAUGAUGAUUAUAAUACAAUGUUGUUGUCUACUAUACAUUAGAUCUUGAUGAUUAUAAUACCACAUUGUUGUUAUACUAUACAUUAGAUCUUCAGGACUUAUUUAUUAUUUGUAAGUUUUUACCCUUAAAAGACAUGUCUCCUAUUUCCCAACCCUCAGCCCCUGGUAAUCACUAUUUAAAUUUAAAAUAAUGUGAAUAGGCAAAUAUUUUGCAACCCAGAGGGUGACUGAGGGUCUUGUGCUGGGUCAGCUCUGUUUUGAUUCACACUAAAACUGAUAUCAUUGGCCAUUCAGUAUUCACCCAGAAAACCCCAAUCACCCCAAACAAACCAUGAAUUUUGUGGUUUCCUUGAAGAUUUUCAGGGCAAAAAGUUUUGUUAUCACCUAAUAUAUAACACGUCUAAUUGGAGGAGAAAACUCUCCAUUAGUGAUGUCACUUUACAAGGUCUUUCACUAGGUCCUUGGCAUCCAAAUGAGCCUUCUGUUCUGCUGCUUUCCUAUCACCUUGGACCUGGGCUCAGCCAAGCAUGUUUGAACAAAGCAAGUCUUCAGCUUACAAGGAAAUUUUCCUAACAGUGGCCAAGAAAGUGAAAUUUUUCUCCGUAUGAUUUACAGUCUUUAAGAACAAACCAGCAUUCUUCUCUGUUUCUCUCUUUUGUCUACUCAAUCCCCAUCCCUACUGGCGUGACAUUUAUUUUUCCAGACGUUUUAAAUAAAUGUAUUAUUUUACUUUCUGGCAUGUUGUACAGAAUCUCCCUUUUUAUUCAUUUGCUGUAACAUAGGGAGGGCAGGAUGGAGGCAAAAUCUACCCAUGUGCCUCCUGAAACUCUUGAACCCUGAUUGCCUAACCCCAUUGCUUGUCUUGGAUAUGUUCCUUCUAAGUUCAGCCUGUUCUCUGCUCUCUUUUUUUCAAACUACGUUCCCAUCUCACAUAAUGGGACAAUUGAACUCAAGCUUUCUAGGACAGUCUAGAUUGAGGACUGUCUGGGGAGGAUGCAGAAGUGAAGGACAGGAGAUUCCUAGCUUUAUGGAGGCUUUGGUCCUCCAGCCUUUGAAGGGACACAGCACAUUACUGUCUAUGCAGGGCCAAACUGUACAAGAUCUAAAAUGACUCCAAGGGUGGAAAAAUAUUACAAAAAUGGACCAC